rnacentral:rRNA from 1 species
UACGUAGGGGGCAAGCGUUGUCCGGAAUUAUUGGGCGUAAAGCGCGCGCAGGCGGCUUUGUAAGUUUGGUGUUUAAUCUCAGAGCUCAACUCUGAUUCGCAUCGAAAACUGCAAGGCUUGAGUACAGAAGAGGAAAGUGGAAUUCCACGUGUAGCGGUGAAAUGCGUAGAGAUGUGGAGGAACACCAGUGGCGAAGCGACUUCUGGGCUGUAACUGACGCUGAGGCGCGAAGCGUGG